rnacentral:rRNA from 1 species
AACGUAGGAGACAAACGUUAUCCGGAGUUAUUGGGCGUAAAGCGCGCGCAGGCGGUGCGGUAAGUCUCUGGUGAAAGCGCUCGGCUUAACUGGGCGAGGGCCGGGGAGACUGCCACGCUGGAGGGGAGCAGAGGCGAGUGGAAUUCCGGGUGUAGUGGUGAAAUGCGUAGAGAUCCGGAGGAACACCAGUGGCGAAGGCGGGUCGCUGGGCUCUACCUGACGCUGAGGCGCGAAAGCGUGGGGAGCGAACCGG